rnacentral:lncRNA from 1 species
AAUUGGUAUCCAUGAAAAUUAAUGAAUCCAUCAGUAAUUGGUUUGAAUGAAUUGAAGUGAUUGAAUCAUUCAGAUUGAAAAAUACACAUCUGAGGAAGUGGUUUCGCUGACAAGGUCUGUUGAAGUUUACGCUGGAAGGACUACUUUCUUGUUCCUCAGCAUUUCUUGUAAUACAAAGCCUUUAAACUUAGAGGCGAAAAUUUCAUUAGUUGACACAAAAAAUUGUCACCAAAAGUAAACGGGGCAUUAAUGCAGAUCCUAUAGACAAAGUGUUGACACACAA